rfam:Triticum aestivum genome assembly, contig: Triticum_aestivum_CS42_TGACv1_scaffold_148276_2BS
CUAGUACUCCCUCCUUCCCAAAAUUCUUGUCUUAAAUUUGUCUAGAUACGAAUGUAUCUAAUACUAAAACAAUGACUUGAUACAUCCGUAUUUAGACGAAUCUAAGACAAGAAUUUUGGAACACAGGGAGUACCUC